AGUAAUGCUUAGGAAUCUGCCUAUUAGUGGGGGACAACGUUCCGAAAGGAGCGCUAAUACCGCAUACGUCCUACGGGAGAAAGCAGGGGACCUUUGGGCCUUGCGCUAAUAGAUGAGCCUAAGUCGGAUUAGCUAGUAGGUAGGGUAAAGGCCUACCAAGGCGACGAUCUGUAGCGGGUCUCGAGAGGAUGAUCCGCCACACUGGGACUGAGACACGGCCCAGACUCCUACGGGAGGCAGCAGUGGGGAAUAUUGGACAAUGGGGGGAACCCCUGAUCCACGGCCAUGCCGGCGCUGUGUGAAGAAGGCCUUUGGGUUGUAAAGCACUUUAAGCGAGGAGGAGGCUACCUAGAUUAAUACUUUAGGAUAGUGGACGUUACUCGCAGAAUAAGCACCGGCUAACUCUGUGCCAGCAGCCGCGGUAAUACAGAGGGUGCGAGCGUUAAUCGGAUUUACUGGGCGUAAAGCGUGCGUAGGCGGCCAAUUAAGUCAAAUGUGAAAUCCCCGAGCUUAACUUGGGAAUUGCAUUCGAUACUGGUUGGCUAGAGUAUGGGAGAGGAUGGUAGAAUUCCAGGUGUAGCGGUGAAAUGCGUAGAGAUCUGGAGGAAUACCGAUGGCGAAGGCAGCCAUCUGGCCUAAUACUGACGCUGAGGUACGAAAGCAUGGGGAGCAAACAGGAUUAGAUACCUGGUAGUCCAUGCCGUAAA
rnacentral:rRNA from 1 species